UUAUUAUAUAAAAUAAUAAUAAUAUCGUUCAACUUUCUUUAUAUCAUCGCAUCGGAUUGUUACCUAGCAAAUUUUGAUUAUUGAUAGGCUUAGGUGAACAAUGGAUCUUCAGGAAGAAGGAGAAAACUUCGUUUUUCUUCUACUCCUCUUGCUGCUGUCGCUAGCUACUGGAGAGGAAAUUAGACGUCUGAACGAGAAGAUAGGGGCGUUGACCUCAGACCUUAAGAAAACAAAAGCAGAUAUCAAACUUUAUGGAAAGAUCUGUUAUGUUCAAGAUUAUAAUUCUGAGAGAGUGAUUUCAAGAGGAUCAAAGAAGUAUGCAGAAGACCUAGGAAGUGGUUUCAGCUCAGAUGAGGAGUCCAAAUACAAGAAGAUGUAAGAAGAGGAUAUAAAUCCAUUUGCAGCUUUCUCGAAGAAGGAAAGGGACCAAAGAUACAAGGAACUAGGUUUGAGAGACAAGAUUACUUCAGGAGUGGAUGUUUUCUUCUUGGUAACAAGCUACAGCAGUUGUUGCUGCUUUAAACCCUGCUUCAGCAAUUUCUGGCUUCUUUGAGCAUCAUGAGCAAAACUGAAACACUACCUGAGGUGUCUUCCUGUUUUCCUGCGUUCUCUUUCCUCGUGGUACUCUUGUGCAUGUCCAGUUACAGCGCGACAAUGAAUGGAAGGACCAUGCGAUGAAAUCUGGUAUGAAGUAAAGGAUACAAGUUAGAUAUACUGAUAGUGUGAAGAAGUUACAAAUACAUGAGAUUAAGUGUACAUACCUUAUAAGUGACUUGAUAAUGUUAUUUUUUUAUUUCUGGUCUCUUUUCAAUUUGGUGAUUUCAUUGUUGGAAUAUAUGCUACUUUAUUUGCUUCACAUACUUGAUUUUUAAGCCAAAGAUAUCUAUCAGAUACAACUUUUUUGUGUACACUCCAUUACAUUGUGUAUGUUAUUGUAAUAAGUGAUCGAGUAUAUAUGUUUGCUAUGCGGAAGUCACUUGACUUGUGUUUAAUUGCAUUCUUCUACGAAGGGCUUGUGUCAUUUAGAUUUGCAUUUCACAUUGUAAAAUAAAACGUCAAUUUAUUAAACGAAUCGAUAUACCUCAACACAACGUAAAAUCAAUUAGUUUUAUGUAGCUCAUUAUCAUUUUCUUUUACUGUCUUAUGGCAAAUCUCACCAGAGAUUUUUAUUUUUGCAUGUUAAGUUUGGAUUUCAAUAUUUCAACUAGGUAUCACAAUCAGUUAAUCACACUAGUUAUAUACUAGCUCAUUAUAAAUGUUCUUUUAAUUAUGCAGCUCAUAUAUUUUCAAAUUUAUCUUUGAAAUUGUUAUUGUUCAUGUGCCUUAAAUUGAAUAACCGAUAAUCUUUUGUUUCCACUGAAAUAACUAUACCCCAGCAUAGGAACCUAUGGCACUUAAGUAGGCAGUAAAAAACUAAAAAUCGUGAGGCACUACCGUACAAGUACGUUCAUCUGCACCUCGCUAUGCUAUAGAGCCUUAACUUUUUGAAGUAUGUUGAAGAAUCUUUAUCUCAAUAUAUAAAAUGCUAAGCUUCUAAUAGUAUUAAUGUCGUUGUAGUAUAGUGGUAAGUAUUCCCGCCUGUCACGCGGGUGACCCGGGUUCGAUCCCCGGCAACGGCGUUCGUUUUUGCCCUGCCGGCGACUCUGGUUUUCCCGAUUCAUCAAGCAGAAAUGGGAAUUAACAUAUUUUACUCUUUCAUCACAAUAAAGUUGUUGUAGUAUAGUGGUAAGUAUUCCCGCUUGUCACGAGGGUGACCCGGGUUCGAUCCCCGGCAGCGGCGUUCAUUUUUUUAAUGCGCAACUGCAUUCAGAUCAAACUUCCGUCGGGUACUAAAUUCCGAUUCCGGCCACACAUCUAAAGCUCGAUGACUGUAGAGUUAGAUGAGCAGCACUUCCGCAGAACUUUUUAAAAUGUUGCCAAAGAUAUGUCAAUGGAGCAGUGUCGUUUUCACUGUGUUCUUCGGAAAAGGUAUUUUCCUUUUUGUGAUUCUGGUACUGAUCUUCCUCAUUAUUCUGAUUUGCAUCAUUUUCGUUAUUUAAUUUUGUAGUUUCCUUUUAAUAUGUGUGUCUAAAUUUUUAUCACAAAGUACUUAAAUAAUUGCAAAUAAAUAUAAAUUGGUGCAUGCA